UACGUAGGGGGCAAGCGUUGUCCGGAAUCAUUGGGCGUAAAGAGCGUGUAGGCGGCCAGAUAAGUCCGCUGUGAAAUCUCGAGGCUCAACUUCGAGCUGUCGGUGGAAACUGUCUGGCUAGAGUCCGGAAGAGGAGAAUGGAAUUCCUGGUGUAGCGGUGAAAUGCGCAGAUAUCAGGAAGAACACCCGUGGCGAAGGCGGGUCUCUGGGCCACUACUGACGCUGAGAAGCGAAAGCAUGGGGAGCGAACAGG
rnacentral:rRNA from 1 species